UGACCUACUCUUAUUAUUUGUUUGACAGUACAGUAGGAUCAGGAAGAAAUGAUACUGGCUGAUGAUACUGGAUGAACUGAUGAUAAGAAAACUGGAGGAACACAACUGAAGCAGAUAAUAAUAAUUAUGAUGAUACUGGAUGGGAAAGUGAUACUAUAUAGGAUCCACUAUAUAUAGCUAUACUGUGAUGAUACUGGAUGGAUGAAAACAAUGAUCAAGUGAAUAAUACAAUUUAAUGAUUGAUGGAUGGAUGGAUAGAUGAUUUGGUUGAUUCUGCUUAGACCGGAUACUGUGUGGCGAUGUCAACCAUUACCCAAGGCAGCUUGCUUCGAUAGAGAAGUACUAUAUCUAUAUGUUUGAAAUUAGGCGUAUACUUCAAGUUGAAGCAAGUUUUGUUGAGUACUGUAGCCAAAAUUGCCAUUCCUGUAAACAUGAUUUUGGGCUUUUACAUGGAGUAGCUAGUCUGUUACGGGUGGGACACAACUUCUAACUAUAUAAGUCUGUUCCAAUGUUAUUAAGCUAAGUGUAUGCAGAGUUUUGUAAGUGUAUUCUCUUUGCAACAAUUUGUCAGUUGACUUUUGUAGAUGGCACUACAUGUGAAUAUAUCAUAAAUAGUGUGUAAACAAUACAAAGACUUAGUUAAAACACUAUCUAUGGUUAAAUGUUCAGUCAUGUUUGCAUAUCUAUCAAUUCGUCUUUUACUCCAGGCCAGUGAUGACUUUUGUCUCUAUAUUCUCCUUGUCACUGUCACUGGUCUUCGCUGUCUUGAGUCCAAUUCAAUUUCCGGCUCUUUCGUUUCAGCAAUCUCUCUGCAAAUGGACCAGAAGUACACCCUGGUCCACAGCCACAGUAAUAAUGGCUGUAUCCCACUGCUGCUAACAUUUAGAAAUGCUUAAAAACUCACUAUUACGUGGCAAAUAACGGUAUACUAAAUAAGCUGGGUAGGUUAGCUGAGCUUCUCUACAGUGGGGUAAGCAUAUACAGUUGUCUGUUCAGGCAAUUCCUGAUUAAAAAAAUUUUUGACCUGUAAUAAUAGCAUAUUUUUCGUACCACACAGAAUACAAGUACGACUGAUUUGGACGAUGCUUAGAAUGUAUUGAGGAGGACAUCUGUUGGAUGUAAUACACAAAAUGUGGCUUAUUGUGUGCUCACAUCUCUCCAACUAGUACUAUUUUGUGGUUUUUUAUACAGCAUUUUCAACGAUGCAUUUCUCGACUCUCAAUGGAUCGACACGAAAAACAAUUACAUAUAAAUGUUCAUCAAUCCUAUAAGAUAGCACUGAACAUGUUCAAAUUCAUCUCAUACUUUUGCAACAAUUUGUCAGUUCAGUUUGCUGUGGCAUGUAAAUUUGUCUAAAUUUG